CCCUCUCAAGGACUCUAUAUAAACCCUCCUUCCCCUCCACUUCUCUUCACACCAGCAAAACUCCAGCUCGGUUAUGCGUUCUACACAAAGCUGGAAUAGUUUUCUGCAAUAUAUGCUUAGAUAUAAUGGUGUUCUCUCUCUCUCCUCCCCCACCCUUCCCCUAAUUAACCCGAUCCCAAUUUCCAGAAGGAGGGUUGGGUUAGUGUGAUCCAAUUGCAGGCCUGAAAUUUGCAGGGAUUAAUUUAAAGGGUGAAGAAGCGUGCCUAAUAUGUCAAACGCAGAAAGGCUUGAUGGAAAUGAAAGAUCUCCAGCAGUUACAUGCUGAAUUAUUGCACAGCUGUAGCAUGGGAAAAAGGACAAGAUGUAUAAUUUUUAGUUUUGUAAUGGGUGACAACUGAGAAGAGUUCAUCUGGCUAUAUGUGUUCAUCAUAUGGCUUUAACUGGUCUAUAUCAUCUCGAACAAACACAGCUAUAGCUUAUAGGUGCAUCCUUCGUGAAUGUUUUACUUUAAUGUAUGAUCGGUGACGUGGGUAAAUCGUCUUUCCUAUAUUAUGCCCCAUAUCAUUAUUUAUUGAAUGCAUAUUUAAGAUCACAAUACUAUA